UCGACGCGUGGCGACGGCGAUGGGGUCGCGGGGCUGCGUGGCGCUGCGGCUCGGGGUGCUCCUGUGGCGCCGGGCUUUCUCCCCGGGAGCGUGGCCCGCGGCGGCCGCGGGACUCAGGCUUCGGCUGCUGUCCGUGGGGCGGCUUCCGGUGGGACCGACGCUCGGCAAGGUCUGCCCGGCCCCCGACCGAGCGCGCGGCCUGCACGGCGGGCCGGGCCUGGAGGAGCGGGCGGAGGGAACAGCCGGCGAGGGGCGCCCGGAGUCAGGCACCGGAGAUCAUACUGGUCCCAAGUUUGACAUCGAUAUGCUGGUUUCACUUCUGAGGCAAGAAAAUGCCAGAGACAUUUGUGUCAUCAAGGUUCCUCCAGAAAUGAAAUAUACAGAUUACUUUGUAAUUGGUAGUGGAACUUCUACUCGACACUUACAUGCCAUGGCCUACUACAUUGUGAAAAUGUACAAAUACCUGAAACGUAAAAGUGAGCCUCAUGUUAAGAUCGAAGGGAAGGACACAGAUGACUGGCUCUGUGUGGACUUUGGCAGCAUGGUGAUUCAUUUGAUGCUUCCAGAAACCAGAGAAACGUAUGAAUUAGAGAAAUUAUGGACCCUUCGUUCUUAUGAUGACCAGUUAGCUCAGAUAGCACCUGAGACCUUACCUGAAGACUUCAUUCUUGGAAUAGAAGAUGACACUUCAUCUCUGGCUCCUGUGGAGUUUAAAUGUGAAUAAAAUGGGGGUGUUGAAGGUCAGCAGCUGCAGCGGCUCGUGAUUUAAUCUUUGUAGAGGCAGACAGCAAGUGCCAAUGGUAUCUGGAAAAUGAAGCUGCAUUUGGGGCACGUUACAGAUGAGGAAUGAUCCAUAUGUGGUUUUGCUGAAGUACUUGCCGUUUUGCCUCCUUUUCCAAUAACUCUGCCAGCAGCAAAGGAUGGCACUCUGAUGUGAGCUUCAAGUUUCACCUCUUCUUUAGGACUAACAAAGUUUUCUUCUUUAAUUUUUCCAUAAAUUCUUCCCUGAGCCUACAGAUGAGAACAUAUCUCAUCAGUGUCAUUCAUGUAGGAAAUGCAAAAAGGUCCAUUAACUUUAAAGAUGGCCCGGAUCCACUGGAACAGACCUUUGCAGUGAUACAUCUGCAUUUGAUAGAUUGUGGAACGUUGCACAAGAGGUGGAAAAGUAAGGAAGUCCUAGAAAAGGUUGACAACAAUAAUAACUAUACAUCACAGAUGAGGCAAUUGAAUGAUUGAUAAAAUAAGAUUAAACCAUAUUCUUCUGACAAAAACGGUUAAAGGCAAUAAGUUAGCAGUCAGCCGAACUAAAAUUUUUGCAAAUGACCAUUUGCUCUCCAGUCUUGAAAGGUAAAACCUCUCCUGUUGGCAGUAAGAUAGUAACUGCGUUUUUCUUGAGUAAAAGGGACUGCAGAGGAACUACAGAGCCACCUAUGCGAGGCUCACAAGAAGCCAAGCCGCUGUCUAAAUGGGCCAGCAAGGAAUUUUCUAGUUAAACAUUUCUUCAUCUUAGCCAGAUGGUUUCUACUUCGACUAAGGCUACAAAAUCAAGUUAACAUACACAUCUGACAGUUAUAGUCAAACACAUCCUGUCACUUGCUGCAUACAACUAGAAGUUAUACAUAAUAAACCUCUCCUAUUAUGUACAACCAUUAAUUUGCUCUGGUAUACACCAAAGGAAAAAGAAGUCAGAGUUGGUUUCAUCUGACAAGCUGCCACAGCAGAGAACAAAAACCAAAGUACCGAACACGUUUUCACUGGUGCAGAAACGAUAAGCUCAUUUUAGGGGGUUACAGGAAAAAAAAAAAAAAAAAAAAUCCAUCUUAGUACCCUGUCUUCCAUUCAUCCUCAGUCUCAGGCCACAGAUGUAGCUAUCAACACAGUCAAAGGACACAACGGAUAUACAUUGUCCUCCGAAACAAGCUCUUGAAUUCGUAAGAAAAAAUAUGGGUUAGGAGGUUUACUAUUACUUAGAUGUCUAAAAUAAAAUAAUUUAUUUGUUAUUAUCACUGAUCACAUAAAUGACAUUUAAGCAUUAUAGCUUUUCUUAAAUGUCCCAUUUAAGACAACUGAACAAUACAGGCAUAGGAGGAUACAGGGAAACAAACUCUGAAUUCCCCAGCAUACAAGCAUUAUGAAAACUGCAAGAUAGUUAAUUCCAUUUAUAGAAUAAUAAGACCAUAAUUGAUGUUUGUAUUUAUCUUUUAGUAUUUCAAACUAAAAGUGGCUGUCUCUGUAAGUCUGGGAUAGGAAGCAAUUUUCAGCAUCUCUGAGUUUUGAUCUGAACUGCCUGGACCACAAGGCUGGUAUGAGGAAGUAAAUUUCUUGACCCAAGUUUGAGGCUAGCCAACUGUACCCCACAUCUCAAAGCACCUCCUUUUGUUUCCUGUUCUUCCUGUAAAUGAAGUGAAAAAAGCUUCCGAUUUUUAGUGAAAAGUAGAGGUCAAAGAAAGUGAUGGUUUAAAAGGAGGGAAGAAGUGGGCACUUGUUAACUUAGCCACAUUUUAGAGCUAAGAGAAGUAAGGUUAAAGAGUUAUCCUGUUAACACAGCUGCUAAGUGGUAGAAACAAGACAGGAGUUUUGGAUAAAUUGCACUGAAUUGAGUAGCUGCUUUUACCUAUGACAAACAAGACACCCUACUGAGUUUAUGAGAGAAAUCAUACUCAAAGGUAUACGUUUGUGAAUUUGAGGAUCUGGCAGGGUCUUAGUCUGAAUCAUCCCAAGUCUGCUCAGCACCACCACCAGCACAUUUAUGUUGUACUUCCUGUGUCAGGCACUAUUCUAAGCAAUUCAUAUAUUGUUUAAACCUUAUUUAAACUUUGUGGGUGUUUUUAACCCCGAUUUUAUAGAUGAGGAACUAGGCAGAGAAAGGCUAAGUAACUUGCCCAAGGUCACACCACUGGUAAAUGGUAAAGCUGGGCUUUGAACCAGCAACCUGGCUACCAGGUCUCUGCUCUUCAUCACCCUGCUACACCACCUCUCAGGACAUGGUGGGAGGCAUUCCAGCCCCAAAGGCCCCAAACCCCAGUAUGACCAAUGGUUCACACCAGGACAAAUGCUGUAAGAGUUCCUGCCAUUUCUACCUCUAAAAUUCAAAAGAUUAGAGUGGCUUGUUGACCGACUGUGGACAAGGGCUAACGGUUAACCCAAGGGUAAGAGCAAACGGGGACAUUUUAAUUCAAGGUUGAGGCCUCUCUGGGACAAGAGGAAAAACUUGAGAACAGCAAGGCAUAUGAAUCAGACUUGUAAAUUUCAGUCUUAAGGUCUCACCUUCACACAUGCUAACAGGGCAUUGAGCAAAUUCUCCUUUGGGAGAUAGUCAAAACCAACAACCAUUACAGAACUCUCAAAAUUAACCAAAGGCUUUGGUUUAUUUUUAAAGUGUAAUUUGCAGUAUGUUUCUACUCUGUUCUUAGUCUUAGAAAUUUCCAUUGAGAGAUUCUUUAUACUGAGUAUUAGAUUUUUUUUUACAGGAGAAGCCAGGUUAUGGAUUUCCCGAAAAGAAGACAUCCAUUCAUUUGUUACCUGUGCACACACUCCAGAGCACAUACCUUGAACUGAGCCUCCGGUGGCCCAGUGAUAAUCACCAUCCUCACUUUAGCAUCUGGUGCUUCAGCUGGAGCGAUCUGUAACAGACCCAGUAACGGGUUAUGACACUUUCAGGUGCCACCAAUAGAAAUGGUACACCAACCAGCCUGUCAUUUGCACAUGACUUACUGAAAUGCAGAAUGAAAGCCUUCUGGAAGGUAGUUACAUGAAGCAGUGAUUAAUGUGGAUUCAUUAGUUAUGGCUCCUGCCGUAUACUGUGUACUUACACUGUGCCUGGCCCUAAUGUAAAAGUCCAGAUGCAGCCUCUACCUAACCCUCACUAUUUCCUGACGAGGUACUGCCUCAUGGAGAGGCCAAAGGCUGGAGAAGGUGAGUCACCUGGCCCAUGAUCACACAGUCCAGUGAAGCUGGAGGGAGAGCUGGGUCUGGCUCCACCAUCACAUUCCUUGUCACUACACCAGUGGGUGCUCAAAGGGUGGUUCUUGGCCCACGCGCAUCACAACACCCUGGGCCUCCUGUAUGUGCAAGAAACUGCUAGGUUCCCAGUCUAAGCCUAUCAGUACAUUCCCCCAAAGUACACUCGCUGGACUAACAUAUGGAAUAAACUAACAUUAAUUUGGCAGAAGAAAAGUAAACUCAGACUCUUCUAUUUUGGCAGAGCGUGUGAAAUGACACAAAAAGCCUAGGCUAGGGAAUUGUUGCAGAGACUGUUGAAGGGGGAGGAAACCAGCCCUUAGUAAGAAAGGAUUUGGGGAGUUGGCUGGUAGGAAGUGUUUUAAAAGAAAAAAAUUUGCUAGGUAUUUGCUGUGCAAGAAGCAAUUCCCUAUAGUAAAUAAUGAGAACAGGAAGCAAAAAAUACAAUAAAAGCCAUCCCAACUACCACUCAAUAUGAUCACUAUCAAUUACUUAUAAUCUAGUAGGCCCUUCUCCACACCUUCAUAAUCAAAACAAUGUUUUUUACUUUUAAUAGACUCAUGCUUCCUCCCUCAAAAUAAAGCUAACAUUUCUGUUACUUAGACCCAAAUUAAUACUAUUGCUACUUUAUUGCUGGGCACUAAUUGUGAGUCAGUAAAACAAGCCAAUAAUUACUUCCUUUUAGACCACACUCUUAGGAUUAUUCACAGGAAACCCCAAAAAGAAGGUAUCAUUCUUCCAUCUUUCUGACUAAGGUUUCCUUUUUUUAAAAAGGAUCUUUGUCAACACUGGUGAUAGAAGGCUGGGGCUGAGGACACUUGUACACUGAGGUUAGGAGUACAAAUUGCUACAAUCUCUCAAAAGCCUGAAAAAAGCACAUGCCCUGUGACUCACCAAACCCACUUCUGUAGACUUACGUUAAAGGAUAAGGUUAUAUAUGACAAUUUGACCAAAAGAACUUUGUCUAUCCCUGUGCAGGUUAAAUUAGGAACAAUCUUAAUGUCCAGUAAGUUAACACAAAUGAUUAUGGUUUGGUAAUACCAAAUAUAUGCCUAUUAAAGUAAGUACAUAUAUGGAAAUUUACAUUAUGGAAAUGUAGCGAAGUGUUAGGAGUGCUGAUGAAUCUUUCAGAUUAUGCAUGUUUCAGACUUUUUGGAAACAAAAAUAUUUUAACCUCAUCAUAAAACCUCCAUUAAAGCCAGAAAGAAAAAGAGCCAAACGUCUAAAUACCCAGUUCUUCUUGUUCAUGAAAUGUUCGUCGCAGUUUUUCCAAAACAAAGCUGCUAGGUUCUUUUUGCAUGUGUGAGCAUGUUUUACAGAUUAACUCAGUAAUCAGGAAACUAACAGCAUAGUAAAGUUAGUUCACCCCUUGGUCUUUUGUCAUGUCUUUUCCUUUACCCAUUUAUUUAUUUUGGCUGCAUUUUCUGCUCACGUUAUUUUGUUAUCUUUUGCUACAAGAGAGAAUAUGAGGGCUUUCCUGUGUGUUUUGCUUUUUUAUUAACUGUGUAGUUUACAUACAGUAACGCUCACUCCUUUGGUACCAAAUACAUAGUUGUAAAUACCACCACAAUCAACAUAAAAACAGCUUCUGUCACUCAAAAUUUCCUCAUGCUGCCUUUGUUUUCAACCCCUUCACCUCCAACUCCUAGCAACCACUGAUUUUUUUUUUCUCAAUUUCCAUAGUUCUCUUUUCCAGAAUUUUCAUAAGUGGAAUCAUACAGUAUGUGGCCUUUUGAGUCUUCUUUCUCUUAGCAUAAUACAUGUGAUUCACUCAAGUUGUUUUAUGUAUCAAUAGUUCCCUCCUUUUUACUGCUAAGUAAUUAUUAUAUAGACGGGCCACAGUUUAUGCAUUUGCCACUGAUGAACAUUUGCUGCUUCCCCAUUUCCCAGUUACAAAUAAAGAUACUAUAAACAUUUGAGUGCAGUGUGGUUUUUUUGGUACUAUAUUCAAAUUAAAAAUUUCAUUAAAUAUUUAUAAAAUUGGACUUCCCUGAUGGCACAGUGGUUAAGAAUCCGCCUGCCAAUGCAGGGGACACAGGUUCAAGCCCUGUUCUGGGAAGAUUCCCACAUGCCGCAGAGCAACUAAGCACGUGCACCACAACUACUGAGCCUGUGUGCCGCAACUACUGAAGCCCGCGCGCCUGGAGCCUGUGCUCCGCAACAAAAGAAGCCACUGCAAUGAGAAGCCCGCGUACCGCAACGAAGAAUAGCCCCCGCUUGCUGCAACUAGAGAAAGCCUGUGCGCAGCAACGAAUACCCAAUGCAGCCAAAAAUAAAAUUAUUUAUAUAUAUAUAUUUAUAAAAUGUAACCAAAAUAAACCCCCCAAUAGACUGAUGUUUUCCUGAAGAAAGCUAUGACUUUUAUCAAGCCUUUGUCAAUUUGUAUAUUCCUUAAAAGGACCACAGCCUUGAUUGUUCGGGCACUGAACAGUGUCAUUUCGGAGUGUGAGGGACCAAAGCCACGCCCAGGGAAGAUGAGCUAGAAGGAAUAUAUAUCCAGGAAUGCGGUGGGGCAGAACCACCAUUCUAACGCCAAAUCGCGUACCUGCAGACUACUUUUUCUGGAGAGAGAAUUUAACUUACCUUGUUUAAGCUAGUGUUGUUUGGAGUUCUCUGUCACACACUUAUGUAACCCCAAUAUAGACUGCCACAUUCAAUUCAAAUUACAGAGUGGCAGGAAGACUCACAUUUCUGUAACUCGCUGUCCUUAAAGCACCAGGAGAGCCACAGCUGGCAGAACAGUACCUUAAUAGAAGCUCCUGCAAAGCGAGAAAGCUGUUUGAUGUGUUGCCCCUGCUUGCCGAUGAUGGCGCCGACAGACAGGGCUGGGAUGAACAGAUGGACAGUCUCUGUUUCUGACUGCUGUUGGAAAAGAAAGACAGGACAUACAUGCUUACUGGAUACAAAUCAGGCUGUAUCGCUGGCAUAGGGAGAGGGGCAUUCUCAUACUGUUAGAAAUAUUAGUAUAGUUUUAGGAAAAACCACCACAGUAAGUUGAUACGAGUUUACCUAACAGGUCGAGAAGAUCUCACAUUCAUCCUGAAAGUGUUAGCAUUUAAAACAUCAGUUUUCUCUGUACAGUUUUUCCUCAAAUUUACAGAUUUAAAACAGAUUUUGUGCCACUUAAUAUUGGUCCACCAAAUGACACCACCGCUCUUACCACACAAAUUCCUAGUGGCAGUAACAGCUCCCUCUUCUCCCUGUAAGCUCAGCGUGGAGGCAGAGAGCACGGAGCCCUGAGCACUACAGACCUCCAGAGGGGCCCUGAUGCUCAGCGGCAGCCGUUCCACUUCUUUGUCCCUCCACACACCCUCAACAGAAGGCUGUUCCACAUGACGUCAUUUACUCACACUAUUUGGUAGGAAUUUU